rnacentral:piRNA from 1 species
UCCAAAUGUGGAGCCAACUGUAUUUAUUCCU